CCCUUAGAUGUUCUGGGCCGCACACGCGCUACACUGGCAGGUUCAUCGAGCUUCAUGCCCCGAUCUGAGAAGAACGGGAAAUCUUUGAACACCUGCCGUGCUUGGGAUAGAUGUUUGCAAUUAUUCAUCUUCAACGAGGAUUGCCUUGUAAGCGCACGUCAUCAGCGUGCAUUGAAUACGACCCUGUAUUCUGUACACACCGCCCGUCGCUCCUACCGAUUGAAGUUUUCGGUGAAUUUACUGGAGAUCCCUUUUGAAGGUGGUUCGCCACUGGAAGAAGUAUUCAAAAGUAAAUGAAUCGAAUGCUUUAGAGGAAGGAGAAGUCGUAACA
rnacentral:rRNA from 1 species